GAAAUCCCUCGGGAUGUAAACUUCGCAAGAACGGGAAGAAUAAGUAGGGGACAAUACCCCCUAUGAUGACGGUACCGUUUGUAAGCUCCGGCUAACUCCGUGCCAGCAGCCGCGGUAAUACGGGGGGAGCAAGCGUUGUUCGGAUUUACUGGGCGUAAAGGGCGCGUAGGCGGUCAGCACAAGUCAGUUGUGAAAUCUCCGAGCUUAACUCGGAAAGGUCAACUGAUACUGUGCGACUAGAGUGCAGAAGGGGCAACUGGAAUUCUUGGUGUAGCGGUGAAAUGCGUAGAUAUCAAGAGGAACACCUGCGGCGAAGGCGGGUUGCUGGGCUGACACUGACGCUGAGGCGCGAAAGCUAGGGGAGCGAACGGGAUUAGAUACCCCGGUAGUCCU
rnacentral:rRNA from 1 species